ensembl:lncRNA
UAUUUUCCUCUCAAGUAGUGAAAUGAAAUCAUUUUAGAGUAAUUAUUACCAGUUAGAGUGGGACAAAAAUGCAGAUGAAAUUCUAUUGGCGUAAAACAGCAUGACCACGCCCACUAAUGCUGGUUACAUUUAGAUUUUGCCGCCAUUGGCUAUUUGCAAGUGUCUCGUGAAUGGAAGGAGUGGACAGAUCGAGAGUGUGGAUCCGUCCAACAUCACAAGUCAUUCACAGAAUUUCUUCAUUUCUAAAUUUAAUUAGAAUUCAAGUGAAGACGUCCCCAUCUAAAAAGAGCCACGCAGGGACCCAGGGGUGCCUACAGAGGGCCAUACAGCCGGGUCCACAAACUCUCUGUUCUCCCAGCCCAGCAACAGCAGCCUAAGUGUUCCACACAGCACAGAGACCGAGAGAGGAGGGAGAGGGAGGAAGAGCCCAAUGGUCGGCCAAAAGUCAAAAGAUUUGUCCCCAACACAAACCGUCUAUAAAUUAUAGAAUCCAGACAAAAUUAGGCAAAUUAGACAUUACCAGAGGUAUAUAGAUAAUCUUUGACAUAACAAACUAACGAUACAUUACCAACUGACAAACAAGCAAGGAAAGUAACACCUUCCAGAAUUAAUUACAUUUAGGCUAGUUCAUAAUUAUGAUGACAAGCCUGUUGCUAGCACUAGUGCUAAGGCUUAGGUAAAUUGCUAUAGAAUGAAUUGAAGCCUAUAUGUUCAAAAUCAAAUAACUUUAUUUUCAGUUUAAUGAGUAAUAUAAGGGGUUCAGCCAGAUAAUGAGAAUCAGCCAUAUAUUGCUGGUGUCAUGUAAAUGGAUCAUAAUGCAGAAACCACAAUAUCAGCACACGAUGUCUCUGAUGGGGAACUCAUUUCAUUAAUGAUUUAAAGAUGAAACUAUGAUGGCUGAAGAAUUUAGCUGAGAACAUGAUGUCUCAUUUAAUGUAUUAUUUUUUUUAAUUUGCUGCAGUGAAUCUAAAGAAUAUUAGUAAUUACAUUGCCUAUUAGCCUAUGGUAAUUUGGUAUGUUAUAGUUACUUCAGUACACAGCAUGGUCAAUAUGAUGGAGGGAAAUUAUUUGGAAGUUGUGAUCCAACCUGGAAGAAGUUGUCUGUUGGCAGUGAGCAAUUUAAACACAAGCAUCGUUUGUAAGGAUGUUGGAUUUUUUUACUAUUGUGAUUGCCCAUUUCAGUGUCUAUAUUGAUGCUAGUGUGUUUAAAAUGUAGGCAAAAUAUGAAAAAUACCUGAUUUUGCAGUUUUCAUUCAAACACUUUUUUUAAGUGGGGGAUGGUCAUUGAAAUAUCCCUCUAGACAAGUUGUGGUUAUACAAUACACAGGGAACCUAUAAUAGCCUCACUUCCAUUUGAUUUGAGAGAGGGGAGCAGUCUGGUGGGCAGGAGUUCGGAGUUAAAAUGUGUAUGUGUUUCACAGCUGACCCAAAGGCCCUUGAAGUCCUAAAGCUGAGAGCUGAGCUACAGGCAGAAAAAUACCAAAACAAAGUGCUGCUGGACACCAUGACCACCUUGAAAAGCAAGCUGGCAUCCCUAAGAGGUG